CAAGCUCCAGGGCAAAUCCACAAGCCGAUCACUGUGAGCCAAGAGAAGUCCAGACCCAGCCUCAGAGAAGUCUGUAUGGAACCACUAAGGUUUUGAGAGAGUCAGCCCUUGUGUCUCACGCAUGAGACCCGCCUUCGCCUUUUUGUUGUGUAUUUGCAUUUUGUCAGGUUGGCGAAGUUUUGUAUAUGUCUGCUUAUAGUUUUUAUGGGUUGACUUAGUUUUGGAUGAUCCUGUCUGUACAGAACCUAUAUCACUAUGUUUCUGUUGUGAGUUAUUAACGUA